rnacentral:lncRNA from 1 species
CUCAUUUUACUUCCAUCUGUUUCUCCCUCUUUCUGAUCUUCAUCGCCAUAGCUCAGAGAUGAAAUUAGAGUUCAUUAUGGUAUUAGAUCUUGAGUUAAUGAUCUAUAGCACUCGAGUCUAAUUCCAGAUUCAUCUUCCUUAAUUGUUUUUGCUAGUUAAACAUUUGAGCUUGAGCAAUUGCUUCGAUUCCCAAACAUUAGGGUUAGACCGAUUUUGAGUAAUUGACAUUUGUGCGAUCUAGAUUUCUAUUGGUAAUGGCGAUUACUGGAGAAUACAAUGGACCGAAUCACGAAGAGGUAGCUGCAGAACCAGUGAACCAGUGGUCGUUCAGCAUCAUCCGCUGUUUCUGCAAAUAAGUGACACUCCAGGUAGUUCUCUCAUCUCUAUCAAGCUCAGAGGACCUGAGAAUUACACCUUGUGGAGAAG